GUCCCUGUAGCGCAAUGGAUAGCGCGUAGGAAUUCUAAUCCAAGGGUCAUGGGUUCGAAUCCCAACUGGGAUG